rnacentral:rRNA from 1 species
CCUACGGGUGGCAGCAGUGAGGAAUAUUGGUCAAUGGACGCAAGUCUGAACCAGCCAUGCCGCGUGCAGGAAGACGGCCCUAUGAGUUGUAAACUGCUUUUAUACGAGGGUAAACCCAGACACGCGUACCUUUCUGCAUGUAUCUUACGAAUAAGGAUCGGCUAACUCCGUACCAGCAGCCGCGGUAAUACGGAGGAUUCAAGCGUUAUCCGGAUUUAUUGGGUUUAAAGGGUGCGUAGGUGGGCGGAUAAGUGAGUGGUGAAAUCCCGAGGCUCAACCUCGGAAUUGCCAUUGAUACUGGUAGGCUAGAGAGUAGUUGCGGUAGGCGGAAUGUAUGGUGUAGCGGUGAAAUGCUUAGAGAUCAUACAGAACCCCGAUUGCGAAGGCAGCUUACCAAGCUACGUCUGACGUUGAGGCACGAAAGUGUGGGUAUCGAACAGGAUUAGAUACCCUAGUAGUC